rnacentral:rRNA from 1 species
AGAGUUUGAUUCUGGCUCAGAAUGAACGCUGGCGGCGUGGAUAAGACAUGCAAGUCGAACGAAAAAGAGAAUAGUUUACUAAUUUCUUUUUAGUGGCGGACGGGUUAGUAACACGUGAGUAACUUGCCUCAGAGUGGGGGAUAGUCCUGGGAAACUGGGUUUAAUACCGCAUACGACCUUCGGGUUAAAGCUAGCUUCGGCUGGUGCUUUGAGAUAGGCUCGCGUCCUAUCAGCUAGUUGGUGAGGUAAAAGCUCACCAAGGCGACGACGGGUAGUUGGUCUGAGAGGACGACCAGCAACACUGGAACUGAGACACGGUCCAGACACCUACGGGUGGCAGCAGUCGAGAAUCAUUCACAAUGGGGGCAACCCUGAUGGUGCAACGCCGCGUGGAGGAUGAAGGCCCUAGGGUCGUAAACUCCUGUCAUAAUAGAGUAAGACAUAGUCGUUAAUAGCUUCUAUGUUUGAUAGUAUAUUAAGAGGAAGGGACGGCUAACUUCGUGCCAGCAGCCGCGGUAAUACGAAGGUCCCGAGCGUUAUUCGGAAUCACUGGGCGUAAAGAGUACGUAGGCGGUUUGGUAAGUCAGGUGUGAAAUCCCGAAGCUCAACUUCGGAACUGCAUCCGAUACUGCCAGACUAGAGUAAUGGAGGGGCAGGUGGAAUUCUCGGUGUAGCAGUGAAAUGCGUAGAUAUCGAGAGGAAGACCAAUGGCGAAGGCAGCCUGCUGGACAUUUACUGACGCUGAGGUACGAAGGCUAGGGUAGCGAAAGGGAUUAGAUACCCCUGUAGUCCUAGCAGUAAACGGUGCGCGCUUGGUGUAGGAGGACUCGACCCCUUCUGUGCCGGAGCUAACGCGUUAAGCGCGCCGCCUGGGGAGUACGGUCGCAAGACUAAAACUCAAAGAAAUUGACGGGGACCCGCACAAGCGGUGGAGUAUGUGGCUUAAUUCGAU